rnacentral:rRNA from 1 species
GACGAACGCUGGCGGCGUGCUUAACACAUGCAAGUCGAACGGAAAGGCCCUGCUUUUGUGGGGUGCUCGAGUGGCGAACGGGUGAGUAACACGUGAGUAACCUGCCCUUGACUUUGGGAUAACUUCAGGAAACUGGGGCUAAUACCGGAUAGGAGCUCCUGCUGCAUGGUGGGGGUUGGAAAGUUUCGGCGGUUGGGGAUGGACUCGCGGCUUAUCAGCUUGUUGGUGGGGUAGUGGCUUACCAAGGCAUUGACGGGUAGCCGGCCUGAGAGGGUGACCGGCCACAUUGGGACUGAGAUACGGCCCAGACUCCUACGGGAGGCAGCAGUGGGGAAUAUUGCACAAUGGGCGGAAGCCUGACGCAGCAACGCCGCGUGCGGGAUGACGGCCUUCGGGUUGUAAACCGCUUUCGCCUGUGACGAAGCGUGAGUGACGGUAAUGGGUAAAGAAGCACCGGCUAACUACGUG